rfam:Lasius niger Lnig_2.1_16139, whole genome shotgun sequence.
GGGGAUGUUUUAGGUUUCGACAGGAGUUAAUGGCAGAUAGUUGCAGUGGUCUAGUAGACCAUAAGACUACGAGGUAUAAUAACCGGAAACAAAAACAAAACUGUAGUGCCUGCAGAUAUUAAAGAAAAAUUAAAUUCAAUUAAUUUUGCUUUGAAUAAGUCAGCUAAAUUAGCUGCUUUAACUGCUUAAAAUCAAUUAAUCUUGAUACUACCGUUAACUAAUGAUUGUUUGUUAUUGUUAGUUAACGUAUUACAAACAAACUAGAAAAACUGAUGUUAAUAAGUUUUUUUGAAGUUCUAAUUAACUAAUUAAUAUUAAAUUUGUAGAAUUAAUUAAUAUUAAUGAAACAACUAAUUCUACUAAACUGUAGAAGCUACUUGUUAGUUACCUUUUGGACGCGGGUUCAAUUCCCGCCAUCUCCACCA